CAUGAUAGUGGAGUUCAUGAUCGUCAUCUUGUAAGGAUGACUGGUUGCCCUAAAUUUCCCAGAAGAUCUUGUUAGCUGAAAGUUUUCGAUGGUUCUCCAUUCGCCAAAGACAAUAUGUCUUUGGAUCUUGUUCAGUUGCUGCUUUUUCACUGUGGCAUGGAUCAGAGUACCCUAACAGAAAAAAAAAUGUAUACUAUUAAGAUGAGGAUUAUCACAUAUUAGAAAACAAAGCGUGGUUUGAUAUCGGACAGAGGAGUUGUACCAUCAUUGCCGGCUAUUUGCGAUUGCUUGGUAUAGAUGAGAUAAUCUGUUUGGAAACGUGGAAAGCUUAUUGAAGAUCC